GUCCCUGUAGCGCAAUGGAUAGUGCGCGUUGAAGUUCUAAUACAAAGGUUGUGGGUUUUGAAUCCCAAAUGGGAUA